rnacentral:rRNA from 1 species
GGUCAAGUGAAGAAGCGCAUACGGUGGAUGCCUUGGCAGUCAGAGGCGAUGAAAGACGUGGUAGCCUGCGAAAAGCUUCGGGGAGUCGGCAAACAGACUUUGAUCCGGAGAUCUCUGAAUGGGGGAACCCACCUAGGAUAACCUAGGUAUCUUGUACUGAAUCCAUAGGUGCAAGAGGCGAACCAGGGGAACUGAAACAUCUAAGUACCCUGAGGAAAAGAAAUCAACCGAGAUUCCCUUAGUAGUGGCGAGCGAACGGGGAUUAGCCCUUAAGCUUCAUUGAUUUUAGCGGAACGCUCUGGAAAGUGCGGCCAUAGUGGGUGAUAGCCCCGUACGCGAAAGGAUCUUUGAAGUGAAAUCGAGUAGGACGGAGCACGAGAAACUUUGUCUGAACAUGGGGGGACCAUCCUCCAAGGCUAAAUACUACUGACUGACCGAUAGUGAACCAGUACCGUGAGGGAAAGGCGAAAAGAACCCCGGAGAGGGGAGUGAAAUAGAACCUGAAACCGUAUGCGUACAAGCAGUGGGAGCCUACUUGUUAGGUGACUGCGUACCUUUUGUAUAAUGGGUCAGCGACUUAUAUUCAGUGGCAAGCUUAACCGUAUAGGGUAGGCGUAGCGAAAGCGAGUCUUAAUAGGGCGUUUAGUCGCUGGGUAUAGACCCGAAACCGGGCGAUCUAUCCAUGAGCAGGUUGAAGGUUAGGUAACACUGACUGGAGGACCGAACCCACUCCCGUUGAAAAGGUAGGGGAUGACUUGUGGAUCGGAGUGAAAGGCUAAUCAAGCUCGGAGAUAGCUGGUUCUCCUCGAAAGCUAUUUAGGUAGCGCCUCAUGUAUCACUCUGGGGGGUAGAGCACUGUUUCGGCUAGGGGGUCAUCCCGACUUACCAAACCGAUGCAAACUCCGAAUACCCAGAAGUGCCGAGCAUGGGAGACACACGGCGGGUGCUAACGUCCGUCGUGAAAAGGGAAACAACCCAGACCGCCAGCUAAGGUCCCAAAGUUGUGGUUAAGUGGUAAACGAUGUGGGAAGGCUUAGACAGCUAGGAGGUUGGCUUAGAAGCAGCCAUCCUUUAAAGAAAGCGUAAUAGCUCACUAGUCGAGUCGGCCUGCGCGGAAGAUGUAACGGGGCUCAAACCACACACCGAAGCUGCGGGUGUCACGUAAGUGACGCGGUAGAGGAGCGUUCUGUAAGCCUGUGAAGGUGAGUUGAGAAGCUUGCUGGAGGUAUCAGAAGUGCGAAUGCUGACAUGAGUAACGACAAUGGGUGUGAAAAACACCCACGCCGAAAGACCAAGGGUUCCUGCGCAACGUUAAUCGACGCAGGGUUAGUCGGUUCCUAAGGCGAGGCUGAAAAGCGUAGUCGAUGGGAAACAGGUUAAUAUUCCUGUACUUCUGGUUACUGCGAUGGAGGGACGGAGAAGGCUAGGCCAGCUUGGCGUUGGUUGUCCAAGUUUAAGGUGGUAGGCUGAAAUCUUAGGUAAAUCCGGGGUUUCAAGGCCGAGAGCUGAUGACGAGUCGUCUUUUAGAUGACGAAGUGGUUGAUGCCAUGCUUCCAAGAAAAGCUUCUAAGCUUCAGGUAACCAGGAACCGUACCCCAAACCGACACAGGUGGUCGGGUAGAGAAUACCAAGGCGCUUGAGAGAACUCGGGUGAAGGAACUAGGCAAAAUGGCACCGUAACUUCGGGAGAAGGUGCGCCGGCUAGGGUGAAGGAUUUACUCCGUAAGCUCUGGCUGGUCGAAGAUACCAGGCCGCUGCGACUGUUUAUUAAAAACACAGCACUCUGCAAACACGAAAGUGGACGUAUAGGGUGUGACGCCUGCCCGGUGCCGGAAGGUUAAUUGAUGGGGUUAGCGCAAGCGAAGCUCUUGAUCGAAGCCCCGGUAAACGGCGGCCGUAACUAUAACGGUCCUAAGGUAGCGAAAUUCCUUGUCGGUAAGUUCCGACCUGCACGAAUGGCGUAACGAUGGCGGCGCUGUCUCCACCCGAGACUCAGUGAAAUUGAAAUCGCUGUGAAGAUGCAGUGUAUCCGCGGCUAGACGGAAAGACCCCGUGAACCUUUACUGUAGCUUUGCACUGGACUUUGAGCCUGCUUGUGUAGGAUAGGUGGGAGGCUUUGAAGCGUGGACGCCAGUUCGCGUGGAGCCAUCCUUGAAAUACCACCCUGGCAUGCUUGAGGUUCUAACUCUGGUCCGUGAUCCGGAUCGAGGACAGUGUAUGGUGGGCAGUUUGACUGGGGCGGUCUCCUCCUAAAGAGUAACGGAGGAGUACGAAGGUGCGCUCAGACCGGUCGGAAAUCGGUCGCAGAGUAUAAAGGCAAAAGCGCGCUUGACUGCGAGACAGACACGUCGAGCAGGUACGAAAGUAGGUCUUAGUGAUCCGGUGGUUCUGUAUGGAAGGGCCAUCGCUCAACGGAUAAAAGGUACUCCGGGGAUAACAGGCUGAUACCGCCCAAGAGUUCAUAUCGACGGCGGUGUUUGGCACCUCGAUGUCGGCUCAUCACAUCCUGGGGCUGAAGCCGGUCCCAAGGGUAUGGCUGUUCGCCAUUUAAAGUGGUACGCGAGCUGGGUUUAGAACGUCGUGAGACAGUUCGGUCCCUAUCUGCCGUGGACGUUUGAGAUUUGAGAGGGGCUGCUCCUAGUACGAGAGGACCGGAGUGGACGAACCUCUGGUGUUCCGGUUGUCACGCCAGUGGCAUUGCCGGGUAGCUAUGUUCGGAAAAGAUAACCGCUGAAAGCAUCUAAGCGGGAAACUUGCCUCAAGAUGAGAUCUCACUGGGAACUUGAUUCCCCUGAAGGGCCGUCGAAGACUACGACGUUGAUAGGCUGGGUGUGUAAGCGUUGUGAGGCGUUGAGCUAACCAGUACUAAUUGCCCGUGAGGCUUGACCAU